rnacentral:rRNA from 1 species
UACGUAGGGUGCAAGCGUUGUCCGGAAUUAUUGGGCGUAAAGAGCUCGUAGGCGGCUUGUCACGUCGAUUGUGAAAGCCCGAGGCUUAACCUCGGGUCUGCAGUCGAUACGGGCUAGCUAGAGUGUGGUAGGGGAGAUCGGAAUUCCUGGUGUAGCGGUGAAAUGCGCAGAUAUCAGGAGGAACACCGGUGGCGAAGGCGGAUCUCUGGGCCGUAACUGACGCUGAGGAGCGAAAGCAUGGGGAGCGAACAGG